UACGUAGAAGACUAGUGUUAGUCAUCUUUAUUAGGUUUAAAGGGUACCUAGACGGUAAAUUAAACUCUAAAAGAGUACUUUUUUACUAGAGUUUAUGAAAGAAGGAAGAAUUUCUGGAGUAGUGAUAGAAUACUUGAUACCAGAAGACAGGUAACGGCGAAGGCAUCCUUCUAUGUAAAACUGACGUUGAGGGACGAAGGCUUGGGUAGCAAUAAGG
rnacentral:rRNA from 1 species